GCAGAUAUAGUUUAACGAAAAUGUCGGAUUGUGAUUCCGUAGACAGGGGUUAAAGUCCCCUUAUCCGCC
rnacentral:tRNA from 1 species